CCUACGGGAGGCAGCAGUGGGGGAUAUUGCACAAUGGAGGAAACCCUGAUGCAGCGACGCCGCGUGGGCGAAGAAGUAUCUCGGUAUGUAAAGCCCUAUCAGCAGGGAAGAAGAAAUGACGGUACCUGAGUAAGAAGCACCGGCUAAAUACGUGCCAGCAGCCGCGGUAAUACGUAUGGUGCAAGCGUUAUCCGGAUUUACUGGGUGUAAAGGGAGCGCAGGCGGCACGGCAAGCCUGAUGUGAAAGCCCGCGGCCCAACCGCGGGACUGCAUUGGGAACUACCGGGCUGGAGUGCCGGAGAGGUAGGCGGAAUUCGUGGUGUAGCGGUGAAAUGCGUAGAUAUUAGGAGGAACACCAGUGGCGAAGGCGGCUUACUGGACGGUGACUGACGCUGAGGCUCGAAAGCGUGGGGAGCAAACAGGAUUAGAUACCCUGGUAGUC
rnacentral:rRNA from 1 species